rnacentral:lncRNA from 1 species
GAAUAUUCAUGUAAACUCCACCCACGGGAAUAUUACACAACAGGACUGGAAAUUCCAGCAUAUAAAGAAUUACAAUAAUCCAAUCGAGAUAAAACGAUUUGAGUUUAAAUUUAAUGCAGCCUUUGACCUUCCUUAUUUGAAGGAACCUUUUAAAAAUAUGUCAUAUAACUCGCACAUCCUCUAGUCCUGUCCGUGAUAAAAGAGUGCUGUCUUGAGGAACAUUUUCCCGGGAUCUGGCGACCGCUCUCCUCAUGAAUGAAAGUGAAAGUAACGAACAGAGUUGAUGUGGCCAUUUUAAACAGACAGAACCGAUGAUCUACAACACAUUAUAUAUUUAAAUCUUUAAUAGAAUCGCUAAUAAAUGCUAAAGCAGGAGUUUGUGUGGAGUUACCGGAUGGGAAUGUGAAUCGGUAUGUAUGCUAUAUAUUUUUUUUUACUCGGAAGCAAAUGAACAAAGUUUCUUGUAUGUUUACUACUAAAUUCGAUUCUUCAAAACUCUAAAUAGCAUUUGUGUUAAAAAUAUAUGUCUAACCUUCUGUAUUUGAGUGAAAGCAGUUUAGUCUGUUCCUCUAACUGUCAUUCAGCUGAAAUAUGCACAUUAAAAUUACUAUUAAUGUAAGAACGGGCGAGGCUUCCUGUGUCAUUUGUGUCCGUUAUUUAGCGGUACAAACACUACGUUAUGCUGCUCGAUACCGCACACUGGUAUUUAUCUAAUUAUUUUUAUUCAUUAUAAGCAAAGAACUGGUUUGUAGCGCACAGUUUUAUUAUGUUUUCUGUUUUUACCCUUUAACUGUAGCGGCUGAUCAUCAAAAGUCUCAAAAGGCUGUUUGAUUAGCUUUGAUUAGUUUGUGUGAUUGUUUGUCUCUUCUAUCUAGAGUCAGUGGAGGUCAAACUGUUCAGAGAUCAAACUGUUCAGAUCCAUCAUGGAUGAAACACAAACUUCUGGAGAUGAAGAUUUGUUUCCAGCACACAGCUCAGAUCAUCAGAAGAGAUCAGAAGCAGAGUUCAGCUGUGUGUCUGUGAAGAGUGACAAGUCUAUGGAUCCACCAAUGAAGUUUAAGAGUGGAGAUACACGGCCUGAUCUCAGCUCAGUUCAUCAGAAGAGAUCAGAAGCAGAGUUCAGCUGUGUGUCUGUGAAGAGUGACUGGUCUAUGGAUCCACCAAUGAAGUUUAAGAGUGGAGAUUCACAGCCUGAUCUCAGGUAUAACGUUUGUAUGAAAAUGUGAUUAUAACAUGACUUUUAAUAUUGUCAUAUAUUAUGUUCACAGUUAUGUUCACAGUUUUUGUAUAAAUAGUAUAUGAGUGAGUAUAAAGCGGGGUUUAUGUAAAUUUCGGGAAGUAACUUCUUGUAGUCCCUACCAGCUGUUUUUAUAACAU